rnacentral:rRNA from 1 species
UACGAAGGGGGCUAGCGUUGCUCGGAAUCACUGGGCGUAAAGCGCACGUAGGCGGCUUCUUAAGUCAGGGGUGAAAUCCCAGGGCUCAACCCUGGAACUGCCUCUGAUACUGGCAAUCUGGAGAUCGGGAGAGGUUGGUGGAAUUCCGAGUGUAGAGGUGAAAUUCGUAGAUAUUCGCAAGAACACCAGUGGCGAAGGCGGCUCACUGGCCCGAUACUGACGCUGAGGCACGAAAGCGUGGGGAGCAAACAGG